CCAGGGCUGAGGCGCCGGGCUGCAGGGUGUGGUGUGAGGGCUUUCCAGGGGCGAGCCCUGCCACUCCUGGAGGCUUCUGUGCCCUACCGCACCCAGCUGCAGGGGCACGCUCCCCACCUGCUCACCUUUGAAGCCCUGCCUUGCGCCCCACCCUGUGGUGCCUGCCCCCAGGGUGCGAACCCAGUGCCCUUUGGGUCCCCAGCCCCGCAUCCUCCCUCUCCACGGAGACUGGGGCGCGGGGCGCUGUCCACCCAGCUGGUCCCUUUGGGACGGGGGGACCCAGCCGGUCCGUGGCCACCUGCGCCCCCGGGCCCGCUUCUCCUCUGCUGGGCAGUGUCGCAGUGUCUAUUGGAUUCGGUGCUGGAGAGGCCUGAGGGGUCCUGCUCCCUUCUCACCCUAAUGCAUAACCUUCUGUCAGCUUCUCCCCUGGGGGCUCCUGUAAAUGGCUGUGGGGAUUAACCUGCAGCAGAGCUCUCUCCUCGUGCUGCUCCUGGGGAAGAGGACAGCGAGUACCAGCCGGGCUGCUGUUGGAUAGCGCGCACAUUCUGAGAGGAACACCCAGCUGGCUUUUAUUAAUUGUCUGCAUUCCACGAGCUUUGUCCUCCUGGCGGUGUGGAUAAUUUCUGUUUAAAAGACAAUUUGCUGUUUUCACAGCAGUCCUGGUUAUCAAAUUCCUUACCCUUCUUCUUAAACUACAAAUAGCAGUGCCGCUUCAUCUGCACACAAAGAUCCUUGUUCCUGGCCGGGGACAAGUCCCCGACAGAGGUCCGGGUCACCGCCUGUGUGGCCGGCCGUGUGGGCUGUGUGCGUGGCACCUGUUGCCCAGCCCGAGCCUCCCGGCUGGGCUUCUGGACCACUGUCCCUUGAGGAGCCGGCCAGGAAAUUCGUUUCACAGCACAAUUUCUCUUGUGCCGUCAUUAUACCAACAACAAUAACAACGAGGACAGCAUAGUUCCAUGCUUAAUUCCCUCAUCACCUGAAGGCUAGGAAACUGAUCUUUCUCUCUGAAACACCGAGAAUUGUGGACACAGUGCUCUGGGAUAAUCGUGUGGUUAAGGAGACCAUUACAGCAUGGCCUGUGUCCGAAUCUCUACAGAGACCGUUCUCCAGUGGCUCCACCAUAGGCUCCAGAGACAGCUCAGUGCCCGCUCCCUCCCUCCCGGGCGGGGGCUCUCUGGCUCUCCCUCUCUGGCUUGGUGACUUGGCUGCAUUCCAGAGGAAGAUGUUUCUGCAACACAGACAGAAGACUAAGUUAGAUCCAAUCCCAGCACGUGCAUGUGAGGGUGAGGCAGGAGGAGUGCUGAGUUCAAGGCCAACCUCAGCUACAUAGUGAGAGACCCUGUCUCAAAAAUGACAGAGCAACAAUACUAAAAUACAAUAGAGAAGGGAAGAAACCACCAACAAAUGACAGUGCAGACAUAAUCCUUUCCGAUAGAAAUGAGUAUUGGUAAUACAAGCCAAACAUCAGAAUACUCUGAGGGCAUUGACAUGGUUACUUUUCUUCAUAUGAUUUCUACUUCAUUUUUUUCCUGACUUUAUUUGAUCUGGCUAAUUUAACUUAGGAAUUUGUUUGUUUGUUUGCUUGAGACAGGGUCUCAGUAUGUAGCCCAGGCUGGCCUUGAACUUGCAGCCAUCCUCCUGCCUCAGCCUCUUGAGUGCUGGGAUUAUAGGCAUGUGCCACCACACCUGGUUAAUUUGGAUAUUUUUAAGGGAC
rnacentral:lncRNA from 1 species